AUAAAGUGGCGAACGGGCUGGGUAACACGUGGGCAACCUGCCCUUUGCACUGGGAUAGCCUCGGGAAACCGAGGUUAAUACCGGAUACUCCAUAUUUGUCGCAUGGCGAAUAUGGGAAAGCUCCGGCGGCAAAGGAUGGGCCCGCGGCCUGUUAGCUAGUUGGUGGGGUAGUGGCCUACCAAGGCAAUGAUGGGUAGCCGGGUUGAGAGACCGACCGGCCAGAUUGGGACUGAGACACGGCCCAGACUCCUACGGGAGGCAGCAGUG
rnacentral:rRNA from 1 species